rnacentral:siRNA from 1 species
AACCGUGCCUAUACACAAUUCCAU